AUUGAACGCUGGCGGCAGGCCUAACACAUGCAAGUCGAACGAGUGGCGGACGGGUGAGUAAUGUCUGGGAAACUGCCCGAUGGAGGGGGAUAACUACUGGAAACGGUAGCUAAUACCGCAUACCAUCGGAUGUGCCCAGAUGGGAUGAGCUUGUAGGUGAGGUAACGCCUCACCUAGGCGACGAUCCCUAGCUGGUCUGAGAGGAUGACCAGCCACAAUGGAACUGAGACAAGGUCCAGACUCCUACGGGAGGCAGCAGUGGGGAAGAUUGCUCAAUGGGCGCAAGCGUGAUGCAGCCAUGCCGCGGUGAGGGAGAAGGCCUUCUGGUUGUAAAUUACUUUCAGAGGGUAGGCGUUACCCGCAGCAGUAGCACCGUCUAACUCCGUGCCAGCUGCCGCGGUAAUUC
rnacentral:rRNA from 1 species